UCAUUUCUAAAAGAUCUAUCACGCUCAAAAAGGGGGAGAGAACUCAGAAGUUGGGUUUGUCCAUUUUGUUGCUUCGUUUUGCGGCUGACCGGAGAAGAACAUGUAAGAAUUCGCAACUAUAGAUAUGUUUCUGCGUCCUCAUCUUCUACAUCGUAGAUUUGUCUGUUUAGUUGGAUAUCAGUUCAUGAAAAAUAGGUUACCUAACUUAAAUAAAUUCCAUGUCAAGGUUAGAGAUUUGCUCAAGAGAUCAAUCGUAAUCUCAAAACCCAUGAAAAAUAGGUUACCUAACUUAACUCAUCUUCUACAUCGUAGAUUUGUCUGUUUAGUUGGAUAUCAGUUCAUGAAAAAUAGGUUACCUAACUUAAAUAAAUUCCAUGUCAAGGUUAGAGAUUUGCUCAAGAGAUCAAUCGUAAUCUCAAAACCCAAAUGGAAAUUCUCUCUUCAAAAAAAGCUCUUGCUGCACUGAAGAACAUAAACUCGAUUAAUCCAUGUGACCAUUAUCACUCAAAAGGUAAUUUUUACCUUGCUGCUCUGAAGAACCCAACGAAGGUGUAUUGUUUCUUUGAUUUCCUGUGGUUUUAACAAAGAAUAUCAGUAAGUUAUUUCUUCUCAAUCAAUUUAGGAAUUAUUUGUUGCUUGAGUUUAACUUUAUUGUUGAACUUGACUGUAGAACUAUCAUCAGUUUUACCUGUUCGAUUCUUUCAAAGUAUUCUGUCAAAUAGAAAUCAAUGCAGGCAUAACCAAAUAGGUAAUAAAUUUAUGUAUGUGCAUAUGUUUGGCUAAAGCUUAGUACAUAUUUGAGUAUUUGUAUUUCACUUAGAGCAACAUGCCUUAGGACCAAAAGAUUAAUUUGGUACUUCUUUAAAUGAAAAGAUUCUGCUUAAAAGAUAUAUGCUUGCUCUCUAUGAUUUGAUCUUGUUAUCAAUGCCAUAUUUAGGUUCGAACUAAUGAAUUUUGAGCUGGUGGAUUCCAGGUGUAGUGAGAUAACUCAUGAACUUUGCCCAAAUUUUGCUUAGAAUCUUCCUUGCUACUGUAAAAUCUCUGCUACCUGAGCAUGCCUCAAUGUCGAACUAAGCCUAGAUAUUAUGUAAUUAGGAUACUUAUUAACUUAAGAGUGUCUUAUAUAUUUUUCCUCAUGUUUUGAUAGUUAGUAAUUAUAAGUCAGUGCUACAUUUGUGUUCUGUAAUUGAUGUAAGACAAAUUUAAUCAGAUAUCGUGCUUUUAGAAAAUAAAAAAAGUUAGUCUGAUUUUUGUGGUGUAUCUCUCCGAGAUGCCUGUUUCGUUUGGUAUGUCUUUAUGUGUUCUUGGUUUUGCUUAAACUGGAUAUAUGGCUAAUGAGGCUUUAAUGAUGUUGCGGACAUAGUGUUUGUUUUAAUAGAUUUUGCAGUCCUCAGAUGUAUCUGGUGUUAGGAUUAAUAACUGGUAGUUAGUAAGAUAAGUUUGAUUAGAUUUUGUAAGUCGGUUAGAAAGAGAACCAUUGAAUUGCGAAGAGGUUAUGGUGUUAUGGUGUCUGAAUGCUUUAACUUUGGACCUAAACAGAAAGAGCAGAUAAAAAAAGUGAAACUUUCAGAUGUCAAGAUGAACAAGAACUACCCUUGAGAAUAAAGUCAAAAUAUGAAAAAAUAAACAGUUUUCUAUCUCUAUCCCUUGAAAAGGAAACGUAGCGAGAGAAAUGUUUGAAAUUAGAACUUAGAGCUGCAUUGAAGGAGGAAAAAAAGUUAAAUGGACAAGAAAAGAAAACUACUAAAUCACCAGCUAGGUAUAUUUUUUCAAAGAAUAAAAUAAACUUCAGCUCAAGUAAGCUUCUUUAGCUCUUAGAUAAAUAUGGAACUUAAAACAACAGCUUCUAUAAAUAUAAAAAUAAAUAAACAGAACCAUUGAAUUGAUUGUGAAGUUAUUGAUUCCAUUUACAAGUCUUGUAUUCCAGGGACGAUGUUUGGUAAUAUUUAAUACAGAUAGAAAUCAGUCAUGUAAAAAGCCUGAAUAGCUUCAGAUGAAAGAAUAGAUUGCACAAUUAAAUCUUUGUGUUCAUCUACUGUAGUAUUUGAUACAGAGAGAAAUCACUCAUGUAAAAAGCCUGAAUAGCUUCAGAUAAAAGCCUGAAUAGCUUCAGAUAAUACAUAUUUGGGAGAAUCUAUAAGUUUCAAAUUAUGUAGCUCUUACAAAGUUGGUAUGUGACGACCCGAACGGUUGUUUUCGGAAUAUAUUGUCCCGUUCCCCAUUAACUAUUACCCCUAAGUCCAUUUUUGCUAUUUUGGUCUACCGGGACAUUCGGUUUAGAAUCCUAAGUGUUUUGGGACACUUAGUCCCUAAAUGAGAGCUUAAGUGUUGGAAAGUGGUCCGUAAUCAGAACAAUAUGAAGACGAACUCGGAAUAGAAAUUUGAUGGUUCCGUUAGCUCCGUUAGGUAAUUUCGGGGUUGGGAGCGUGUUCAGAAUAUAUUUUGAAUGUCCGUAGCUCAUUUAGGCUAGAAAUGCCGAAAGUUAGAAUCUGGAGGCUUCCGGUCCGAUUGUGAAUUCGAGGGUCGGAACAAAAUUUCGGAAGUUACUGUAGCAUCGUCAUGUCAUUUGGGACGUGCGUGCAAAGUUUCAGGUCAAUCGGACGAGCGUUGGUUAGGUUUUGGAUCGAAAGCGCGUUUUGGAUGAACUUGAAGUUCUUAGUCUUGAAUCUUUGAUUUAAUCGGGUUUCCGAUGUUGUUUUAGAGGUUUUAAGGAUUGGUACAAGUUUGAAUAAGGUGUUAGAUGGUAUUGGUGUUUUUGGUUAGGGUCCCCGGGGGCCUCGGGAUGAUUUCGGAUGGUCGACGGGGUGGAUUUUGAAAUGUUGCAGCAACUGAUGUUUUCCCUUAUGAUAUUUUUGCUUUUGCGGUUGGUGAGGUGCAGAAUCGGAGCCGUAUAAGCGGCCUGGCUCACCUCAGAAGCGAUAUGGGCGUGGCCUUCAGAGACCGCAUAAACGGUCAAUCACCUGCAAAUGCAGAACCGCAGAUGCGGUUGUACGUCCGCAGAAGUGGACUCUGGCCCCUUAAUGAAAUCCGCAUAAGCGUAUCCUUGUCCGCAUGUGCGGGACCGCAGAAGUGGUCCUUUGUCCGCAGAAGCGGAAAUUGCUGUUCUGAUAAGGGUUUAUCCGAGGUUUAAUUUCAAAAGUUGGACAACCAAUUGAGAGCUCGGGAGAAGGCGAUUUUGGGUGGGUUUUGAAAAGAAGAUCAUUGGGUAACGUUGCUUUGAUCCUUUCUAGUUAUAUUUCAUCAUUUCCUAGUUAAAUCAAUCAUUGGAAUUCAAAUUCAAGGUCUAAAAUUGGGAAAAAUGGUGAAACUUCUUAGACUUAAUUAUGUGAUUUUGUGUGGGCAUUUGACCUCCAAUUUGGGAGAUCUUUAUAUAGUUAGAUUCAUGAGAGUACGAGGGUUCUGAAAAUGUGAUAGAUAUUCGAUUCCGAGCCGUUGGCCUAAGGGGCGUUUUAGUUAUUUUACCUAUUUUCGCGCUCUAACUUUAAAUUUAAUAAUAAAAUCAGUUGUUUGCGAUGUUAUUUACGUUACGUAAUUGGAUUGAAUAGAUUUGGUCCAUUCGAAGUUGGAUACUCGUGGCAAAGACAUCGUUCCUUAGUUGAUUUUGCACCGAUUCGAGGUAAGUGGCUUGUCUAACUUUGUGUGGGGGACCUCUCCCUUUAGGAUCUAUUACUUGUUAUUUUAAGUGCCGGUACGCGAGGUGACGAGCGUGUACUUGUGCUAGUUGUUGAAAAAUCUGUUUUACUUAGAAUAUUUAUUUGUGUUCUCUUACGAAUUUGCCUAUUCUAAAUGUAAUUUAACCUGUGUUAGCUUAGGAUGAACAUGUUUAGCUGACUUACUUGCUUAAUUGCUUAAACUGUUUUAUCUGUCCUACGUGAAGCAUGCUAGACUAGGAAUUCAUUAAUUGUUCUUACUUAGCACCUUAUCUUAUUUGAAUUGUGUGGUGUUACGAAUUGGGAGUACGGGACGACAUCUCGAUAACUCCCUUUAUAUGCGUUUCGUUAUAUGGCUGAGAGUGCGGGAUACCAAGAGAUCCCUUGCACAGAUAUGAUUAUAAAAUGCAUGAUACCAGGAGAUUUUCGGGAUAGUAAGAGAUCUCUUAUGUAAAAUGGAGGAUACUAGAAGAUCCUCGAGUAUAUGAUGAGGAUACCAUGAGAUUCUUGGGAUACCAGGAGAUCUCUGAUGAUAGAUAUCCGGUGGCGAAUUGCACUUCUAUUUACUUAAUGUGUUAGUUCUAGGUUACUGUCUUAUUUUGCUAGAUUCUCGCAGUAGAUUAUAUCCAUAUGGUCUUUCCUUAUUCUAUUGAUUAUUAUGUUUUUAUCUUAGUAGGGCCUCGAUCUUUCAUCGUCACUACCCGACCAAGAUUAGGCUUGGCACUUACUGAGUACCAUUGUGGUGUACCCACCUCUUCUGCGCAUGUUUUUAUAUGUCCAGAUCCAGGUACCUCUACGCAGGCGCAUUAUCAGUACCUGCGAGAGCAUUUUGGAGACUUCAGGUAUAUCU
rnacentral:lncRNA from 1 species